GGAGCUCACGCAUGUGGCCAGGCCCAGGUUUCUUUCUUUUUUCUUUUUAAGGCGAUAAAUGGAAACCAAUCCACUCUUUCUGUGGCUGGUUCCCACGAAGCUGGGAUUUCAAGCCUCUUGUUUAUUUUUAAAGCCAGUGGGGAGACCCAGCUGAAAGCCCGGCCUGGGAUUUUCACCAGCGCGGUCCCAGUGCACGUGGAAAGAAGAGAAAGGAGGGAGAGCUGGUGGCUUCGAGCCGCUUCCGUCGGGGCCUCGCGUUUCGCCCCCAUCGGAGCCCUCUCUUCUUUCUCUCCCCCGAAGGCGCUCCCUGAGGCCGGCCGGUGUCUCUGCGGUCGUGGCCAGUCUCUUCUAGGUCGUCACCGCUCUGCACCAAACAAAUGAGUCCUGUUUCGCCACUAGGGUGCCGAGGUGGAUGGUGGAUGCCGGCCCCCGCCCCUGGCAGCGUUCAGCGCUUAGAAACCAGAGCCAGCUGACAACACACGAAACACACAGGCACAGAGAAAACGCCGAGCCAACGCGCGCUCCCUCCGCCCCCUCCCUCUGUUCUCUGUACCCGUGGAGGACAUGAACGCAGCCUUUAUACAUUUUAAAGCCCCUGCGACUUCCUCUGAAUUCUUGGUUACUUACGACGGCCUUUCCUACUGCACAUAGCCCUUGGUGUGGUGUGUGUGUGUGUGUGAGCGCGCGCGCGCGCGCGCGCAAAUGUGCGUGUGUAUUUAAAACGCUUAUUGGUAGGUCAUCAGCAGCUGAUCAGACAUAGUAAUCCAAUAAUCUUUUUGAAUACAUACAAUUUUCUUUAAAGGUAAUUUUUUUUUUUAAGAAAAAAGGAAAUCUGUCGAUUUCCUGUGCAAGUCUUGGGGUCCCAGCUUGGGUUCCAGGCAACCACAGGGCUGCGCAGCCUCCGCCUCGCCAAACUUUCCCUUUCCAGGUUUGAGCGAGGCGCAAAUGUUCACUUCAUGACUGAGCGGGGGCUGCUUUGCAUGCGGGUGUGGGAGAGAGGGGAGCCGUGGGGACGCUCAGA
rnacentral:lncRNA from 1 species